UGUGCCAGCUACCAGGACUACCAGGAGUGGCUGUACUGCCUGAAAACCGCCCAGUUCCGAAACGCCGACUCCUCCCUUCUCGGGCUCCGAGAGCUUCUCGGUGGGGCCAAAGCCGCCGCAGCCCUGCCAGUUCCCCAGCAGUGUGAGGGGAUCCCUCAGCUCUGACGGCCGGACCAACUCCUGGGCGUCCGGGGGCAGAGUGACCGCGCUGACCCAGCUGUGCCCGGCCAGCGGCUCCCUGCCCGACGGCCCCUCCUUCCUGCUGAGCCCCGAGAGCCGCCGGCUGCAGGAGCCCCUGUGCCCUGCCUACUGCCAGCCUCUGCAUUUCCUGCAGUGCCACGGGCAGCCAGGAGCAGCCCAGGGGGCAGUGCCAGGUGCCCAGCAGCUGUCCCUGGAGCCGUGGCACUGCCAGCCCCUGCCAGGGCACUGCAGGGAGGUGCCCACGGGCCCCACCUACAGCAGCCCGGGCACCUCGCGGCGGCUGCAGCUGCGGGCACCUGCCCAGGGCUCCUGCCUGGGGGAGAUCUGCUCCGUGCCACAGGAACACCUGGGCCCUGAGCUGCGCCCCCCAGAUGGCCCCUAUGCCCUGGCAGAUGCCAGCUGCCCGUGCCGGGACUCCACGCUGUACCACGACUACGCGGAGCUGCAGAGCUUCCAGAGCGACCUGAGCUACGACAACCUGUGGGAGGCGGAGGAGCAGGAGCCGGGCAGCCCGCACGUCUUCCAGGUGUGAGGCAGGAAAAGCCCCGGCACGGAGAGCCCCGAGCUCUGCCCCAGCCCGGGCAGCUGCAGGGCUCAUUCCCUGCCCCAAACCCCAGCGUGGGGCUCAGCAGAGCAGCCCCGGGCUCUGUGGGGCUGCAG
rnacentral:lncRNA from 1 species